rnacentral:rRNA from 1 species
GAUGAACGCUAGCGGGAGGCCUAACACAUGCAAGCCGAGCGGUAUGGAUAGCUUGCUAUCCAGAGAGCGGCGUACGGGUGCGUAACACGUGUGCAACCUACCUUUAUCUGGGGGAUAGCCUUUCGAAAGGAAGAUUAAUACCCCAUAAUAUAAUGAUUGGCAUCAAUUAUUAUUGAAAACUCCGGUGGAUAGAUAUGGGCACGCGCAAGAUUAGAUAGUUGGUGAGGUAACGGCUCACCAAGUCAAUGAUCUUUAGGGGUCCUGAGAGGGAGAUCCCCCACACGGGUACUGGGACAGCGACCAUAGUACUGCGGGACGCAGCAGUGUGGAAUAUGAGACAGUGGUUGAGAACAUUAGCCAGCCAGCCCGCGUGAAGGAUGACGGUGCUAUGGGUGGUAAACAUCUUUUGUGCAGGGAUAAACCUACCCUCGUGAGGGUAGCUGAAGGUACUGUACGAAUAAGCACCGGCUAACUCCGUG